AUAUGUCUGUAAAUAUAAUUCGACGGUAGAUUGGUGACAAAAGCAAAAUCCUACAUAUAUUUUAUUAAAACUUAUUUAAUUGAUCAUAACAGAUUGUUGUUUUAAUUAUCAAUCUAUUAAUACAUGUAGAAUAGUUUGUAGAACAGGUAGAAAAGUUUAUUACACUUCUAUAUAAUCAGGUAAAUUUGUAUAGCAGUUGCCUUAAAAACUCUAUUUUGAUAGAUAUUACAGAAAUAAAAAAUGAGUACCAAAAGAGUAAGAUAUAUAACUGCAGAGCAAAAGGAAACACUUGUAGAAUUUAUGAAGCAAAAUGAGAAAUUAAGAUCUGGUAAGUUUUCGGCAUCAUUUACGGCAAAAGAUGCACAAAAAUUGUGGAUGACGCUUGCUGAAGACUUACGUAAGAUACCCAAUGGGGCAGUUAAAGAUUGAAAACAGUGGAGGAAGAUUUGGCAAGAUCUUUAUGGAAAAACAAAGACAAAACAUAAUCAAAUUAAUAAAUAUACAAAAGGAACAGGUGGUGGUCCUUUAUUAUCAAGUGCAGAACAAUUAACAUCUAUUGAACAACAGGUUUUGGAAACAAUACAACAGCAAUUAGUGGCUAUAGUAAUAUUGCAGAACCAGAUGUUGCAUUUGAAUUUAAAGAUAUACAAUACUUGGACGAGAACGUAUUACAUCUGAACACAGACACAAUGAAUGUGGAGACAAUAGACAUGGAUAAAAAUAAUGAAGCUAUAUCAUGCGAUACAGACAUGGAUACAAAUAAUAAUGAAACUAUAUUAUGCGAUACACAAAAUUCUUUUGCAGAGAAUGAAAGGUUAAAGAAAAAAAAGAAUACAAUAAGAACUACUGAUAGAAGAAAAGAAAACAAUGAAACAGCUGAAAAUAUACUUACCAACAACACCAACCAACCACAAA